AGAAACUGCGCGAAACUGCAGUUGUCCUUCCAGGUGCACACGGGUCCGACUGCCUGCCUUAUGGUUUGCUAACCCUAGCUAUCUUGUACGCCUCCAACUCAGCCCAAAGACCAACGAUGCUCAGCGGUUUUGACGGAGGGUCUCACUUUUUCUGACGUAUCUUCGCAUCAGGAUGGACGUUCGUCAAGUCAUACUGAAGGACCAUGGCCUCUCGGUCACUCUAGCCACUCUAACCACUCAACUUCCAACUAGAGGCACACAUGCACACGAUCGCUCUCUCUCUCUCGCCCUGUCUCCGCAGAGAGGAGCAAUCGAGGGGCCGUGGUCCAACUCUCUUCACUCACCGUGUCCAGUAUCCUGCCCUACGGUGCGAGACACCACAAUUCGUUUAAUGCUCACGAGCAAAUUUCGAAAGAAAAUGCAAGUACCAAAGUUCCACCAAAUACAUUGAGAAUGCGUCGACGCGUCUGGCCGUGGGAGUACUCUUGUCCAACUCAUUUGUUUUCCUCUACCGCCCUCUUGGCGGCCGUGGGUUUCGGUACGUAUCGUUCCACUGCUUCUCUGCUAUUGUUCAGAGCAUUUCCAGAGCGUCAUUGCUUUGUUUUAUUUUUAUUUAUUUUUUAGUAUUCAACUUUCAUCUCUCGCCGGGUCUCCUCCAGCAGAUCGAACUACGAUUUCAGGAGCAAACUUUUUCCCAAGCUUCUCUUGCGUUUGUUCUGGACAUCUUGUAGCCAGGCCUGUGAACUCCAUUCCCAAAGGGCACACCUAUCAGUCCACACUUUAUCUGUGGGUAAUACGUGCUCAUUCGAUAAGUUAAUAACUGGCAUUCUGUGCAGUAUAUGUACGUCUUGGUACUUGAUGCUGAUCGACACAGGGUCUCCGCCAAAAAUCGUUUCCAACGUUUCGUACGCGGUAGGUUCAAUGUUCGGUUCGUUGAACAUCAUUAUCCCCCUCAAGUGACAAUCUUGAAAUGGGAACUGUGUGCCCCUGUUGAAGUUACCUAAGAAAUCUGCAUUUAAGUAGAAGUAACACAUAUAGUCCAUUAGAAAGGUCUUUCCUGCGGACAGCGGCGAAAAGAUACAAAGCGCUUCUUCUUCCUAGGGUACGCAAGUCCACAUACCGCAGCUAAUUCAUGCCAGAAUUGCAUGCAUUCCUCUUGACAUUGACAGAAGACGAAACGCUCUAAAAUAUCUACGGACUCUUCUAUAGAGACAAGUAUAGAUUACAAGCAGGGUGAACCGAGGAGCAAUGGCCACGUUAGUAUAAUAUUUCUCGUAGUCGCGGAAAGUCCAUCCUUUAGUAAGAGUGCGAAAGCUAUGUACAGCUAAAGCGUAAGCAGGAUCACCGCGAUUAAGCAUGUCACAUUCCGUUUAAAUCCAUUCGACUGUGCCGCAGGACGAUAUGAGUGAGGAAAAUGCCAAAACGUUAAAUCAUAACCCAUAAUUAUAUUAUAUUGAAAAUAUAUAUACACGAGCACUUCCUUUAAUUACAUCCAGUAAAGUCUUGGCAGUUUCGUGCACUUUAGUGACUCGCAGUUUUUUUUUUUUUUUUCUUCUUCGUUCUUUGAGUUGGCCCUGGAGUCGGUCGAUCAUUUGGUGGAUCUCUGCCUGCAUUUGUGGUGUUUCCGGGUCCCAGUCUAUCGGAACAAUACACUAAGUGUGCGGAGUCUUCCAGCGCUCCUCGCGAGGUAGCUGAUGGUACCGAUCCCUCUCCAAAAGCUCUGUUUUGUACAACACCCAAUGUCGGUGGGUUGUCCCCAGUUGUGAGCGCAUACAAAUCGCCUUGAUGGUGGCGUGAAAUACUCCAGGGUGUCGAUGAGGUGUUGUUCCAUGAGAUCGCGAAUGGACGUACCCAAGCGCGAGCUGCGGCUAACGAUGGUGUUUCAUAGGAUCCGGCACCGACAGUACCUGUUGGAGUAUGCGCAUAUGUGGAGCAGGUGGAAGUGGUCCCGUCCAUCACAGACGAUGUUUUUAAUUUCUUGAAGGGAAGAUCCGAUAGCUGUUUCCCGGCAGGUGAAAUACUUUUCUGUGAAUACGAAUGGUCUGUAUUUGCUGUCGCCUCCGUUGAAGCUGAUGAAGAAGAAGUCGUUGGUUGUUAAUCAAGUUAAUCAAGAAUGUGAGAAACUGCAUAAACUCCUGUCGUUCUGCAUAAACUACCCCACAGUCUCAAGGACAAGAAAGAAAUGGCGACUCCCUCUCCAGGGGAUGCCCAGAUCCCCUCAUCUGCAGAGUCUAAACUCCCUUCGGCCAGUGGACAUAGGUGAUCCCCUCGCUGGAAAUGUUUCCAGAAGAUUCGGAACCCUCUGGGUAGGCGUUGGUGAUCCGUGAAGAGACACCAGAGGAUCAAGUGGCAUGUAUUGCUAGGAGUUUCACCCAGGUAACCUCCGCGUCUCACUUCGGUCUCGAAUAACACAAAAUAUAAGGUCGUUACAACCUGCCACCGAACAUGCCUCAAUUCAUUGGUAUCACAUACGACAGACAAUUCUGUGUACGGUAAUUACUAUAAUUACAAGCCCUACGCAGACACGGUACGAACUAGUCAUGUGUGGUGGCACAUUUGGCUGCUUGUCGCCCUUGUGCAAUAAAACACCAAAACCAACAAACAUACUUCACGUUUCCGAACUCGUUUGUGCCUGUGCUGUCGCUGGAGAUGGCUGAACGUUCUGCGAUGAAGGCUCGCACAUGGGAACAUAAUCGACGCCUGAUGAGAAGCUUACUUGGGCAUCCUGCUGUUUCGAUUGGGGUUUCGUGGUAAAUCAGUUGAACCAACCAGAGGUAUUAUUAAACUGUUUCGACACUCUUCCUGCUGUAUAAACAAUCUUAAAAUGUUGGGUCACAUGGGAACACUGUCCGAGCCGAGUAUUCGCUUUGAUGGAGGCAUUGAGUUCUAAGUCCACUUUUUCGAUGUUGUAAACGAGCAGACUACAGGAGCACUAUGGAAAGUGUUGGACGCACCUGCGUCAAUGGGCCUAUGCAGUGCAUUCACUAUCGAAUUUGAUCCGUCAGCUUCAUUUCUUUCCAAAUGACCGGUGGCUUUUACAGUGGCUCAUCACUUCAAGGCUGUUGGAUCUCGUGAAGCGUAGGCUUCUUGUGGUAUGCGUUUUGCCGAAGUGCUUUGGGCAAAACGAUUGACGGGAGCAGAAGGGUGUUGCCUAGCGGGUGCAUAACUGUGAAGAGGACGAUCCCAGAGAAAAGGAUAAACACACAAGCUUUCUCACACAUGUGAUGUGUUGCUGACAGUUGCGACGCAGUACACAAAGGGCGAGACAGACGAUGUCGCACCUUUGUCUCGUCCUUUGUGUACUGCGUCGCAACUGUCAGCAAUAUGUACUAGAGUCACUAAAUAGGGAGCAUAGUAGCGACACUGAGCCACGUAGGCGAGCGAGCCCGCCAUUUUGAGUCAGGCGCGGCUGCGUCGCCUAGCAAUGGGACGCCAGUUCCCCCUCCUCCGGUGGAGAACAACGCGCAGUCGAGCCACCUCGCAACCCAGGAAACCGGUUUUGGAUGGUGACCGCCAAAAAUCUCGAGUCAAAAACCGCGACAGACAAAAUCGCGAGUCAACAACCGCGAUUUUCAAAAACCGCGAUUAGCAAAAACCGCGACAGGUGAAAACCGCGAGGGUCAAAAACAGCGACAAGCAAAAAAGGCGACGUCCAAAGAUAGCGACAGGCAAAACCGCGAUAGGCAGAAACCGCGAUGGCCAAAACCCGCGAGCAAACCUGCAUAGAAUUGAAGAGGAUACUUUUUGAGCACGCCGAUGCUGACUGGCAGUGUUUCAGACAUUUGACAAGACUUGAAAUAUGUUGGUCUCCGCCGGACGCCGAAAUUACUCGUACAAAUACGGACAUGGAAGAGGUAGAGAAUGGCAUAUACACUCAUUCCCUGCCCGCGUCAGCUAUCACGUUCACUCUGUCGGAAAUAUAACCAAUUACUGAGUAAUCGAUUACUCGAAAAAUUACUAAAAAAUGUAAUUUAUUACAAGUAACGCGUUACGCACAAGUCAAGUGUGAAGUAUACAGAUUGAGCACAUCGAAAGCUGCAGUUUAAGCACAGAAGUCAUUUUUAAUUCCCUGCUUUCUUCCUAUAAAACUAUUAAUUAGGCCAGUAAGAUGCGCCAUGAGAAGUAAUUCACGCCACAGUAUCAUAAUUAUCGCAGAAAUUGAAUUUAAAGUACGCCGCAAAAAGGGACCGGUGUGCGCAACGGUGGUGGAGAGCAGUACCAGCCUGUGAUUUGCCCAUGACCUCGCGCUGACGCCUUAGCUGUCGUCUGCUGUUCGGGACUCUGAAAAAGCAUUGCUUCUGGAUUGGUCAUGAUUCAGCCGCUCCUGGUUUAUGGCGGCAAAGCUGGUUUAUGGCGGCAAAGGGCGCUGACCACCGAACCAGAACACGUAUGGACCCUGUAACGUCAUGUUUAUGUGAGUUUUUCUUUUUCUUUUUUUCUGGGAAACAAACUGUAUACAUCAAAACCUUUCGUGCUACCAGGUAAAUUGACACACACACUUUCAUCAAAUGUCUUAAUCUGAAAUUUUUAGGAUGGCCCUCUGUACUCCUUUAAGGCUUUUAUUCCCGGAAUGGAAGUUAGCCUACUUUUCAUAUCCUCAUGGCCCCCUUUCAUCCUCCCUUCUAAAGGAGAGUGAGUAAGGUUUUUAGCUGUCGCGUUUUUAGUCGCGGUCUUCGGCUGUCGCGUUUUUUGCCUGCCGCUGUUUUCCCCUACUCGCGGUUUUUGGUGUCGCGAUAUUUGUGUGUCGCUAAUGCUUCCUAUCGCUAUUUUUGUCUAUCGCGAUUUUUGGAUCUCGCGGUUUUUGACUCGCGGUUUUUGCUGUAGCGGUUUUUGACUCGCGAUUUUGACCUAGAACCGUUUUGGAUGGAGGUAACUCAACAUGGACGGCGAGUUCUUGGAAGGAGAAACCACGUGGCACGUUCGGCCCAAUCGCAGACACUGAACGGCGGCUUCGGCGGGGAAAAGGAAUGCGAUACUCUGUACCCCUAUUUAGUGACACUAAUAUGUACCAACUUGCCCGGUAUUUGUUACAACGUGUUGUGUGUUCUAGGGGCGGGUCUAAGAUUUUCCCGAGGGGGGGGGGGGUCCAUGUGGACAAAUGCCACGUGCAUUCUGGGAUUGGUCCGCUGAACCCUGUGUUCAAGUCUGUAAUUGAGGGUGUCCGGACCCCUGCCCCCCCCCCCCCCCUACAUCCGCGCCUGGUGUGUUCAUCCUUGUUUCGUGUAUCAUCCUCUUCGCAGUGCUUUGAGAACCUGCCAGAAUGUUGAGUUGUGAAUUGGGGACUGCACACUCUUCCGAGAGUAUUUCAUGCUGGGGUAGAUAUGCUGCUCAUCUUGCCUAUAGACCUGUUGCUCUGGUCCAGGUGGCGCAAGUGAGCAGCAACAUCAGCGCCCCAAAUUAUGCAACACUCCCUAGUUUAGCAGACGACGCGGCACUUUCAAAUACACGGUCCCGAGUUGUUCGCAGUUUUCAAGAAGCACCGCUUUUUCUGUGGAUUUCCUACAGGUUUUGUAGCUUUCCUUGGCACCAUACCGUUUGAAACACCAUGCAAAACCCGCUGAUGAAACUCCUUACUGUUUGGAUCCGUGUCCGCUUGGGCCAGAAAUGGCGCUGUGCAAACUUCAGUGCAACAGCCCUAUAGCGGUUCGUGAAUUUGUACCCCAUAGCUGUUCCACGUUUGGGACUUGACCAGGCUACGUUGUGCGAAACAACAUACCAAGUUUGUCACAUGUGGUAGCUGGUAACGGUACAACAUUCCUAAAUGCAGCACGAAGAACGCAGACUGAUGGGGCAAUUGCAGACACUACUUACUCUGCACAGAACACAGCCUGUUCUCAUUCCUUGGAGUGGUCGCGCAAGUGUUUCUUUUACUGAUAAUGACUCUCUGUAGCUCCUCUUACGUAUAGGAAUUGCAUGCAGCCAGGACCGACGUCAGUUCCACUUGUAACACCAUGUUAUGAAAAAAGACGAUUCCAUUAGAGCUUUGUCUUCUUUAAGAGACGCCGGAAGUUGCGUAGAAUGAAGAUAGACCUACUCAUACAAACUGCAUGUGGCGCGUGGAUGUGAGGUACACGGACGAUGAAUUCUUCUUCUUCAUAAGGCAGAACACAAGGCCUACUCUUUAGGCCUCUUUAUUGUGUUCUAGAUAUCAUGGAAUACUGUUUUUCUCCACACAGUGGCAGAGGGUGGUGUGUCGCUAUUCUUGUAAACAAUCUGAAAGGCAAGCUGACAGAACUCAUGUGCCAAUGUGCCCAAAUAUAUCUGAGUCCAGAGCUGUCCUUUAAUUUUCGGCUCCUACGAAGGUUUGUUCUCUGUCAUGGUUCUUUGCGUUGGCGUUGUUCAGACACACAAUACCAUGCACGGGUAGCCUUCACUCUCGAAGUCAGUGUAGGUGUUCGAUGAUGAUGAUUUCUGUAGCAGCUACUCUCAAAUCGAAAGAACUUCGGCAACAUUGUUGUUCUGUGUUUUACAGUACGUCAAAAGCCCCAGGAGGACAUUAAAACGUUUAAUGUCUUCCGGAAAUGUCUUCCGUUUAGUGCCUCCUUUUAAUGUACAUACACCUGGUAAUUCACAUGGUACAUGUAUACAGCGGUACAACGACGGAAGUAGACGACAAUUCCCGACGUGCCCCAUGCACCUUAGGUGGCGUUCAUCAAAUUUGCACUAAAAAUCCACUAGUUUUGCAGAUUGUGAGAGGUAUCCAUUUCAAUCCCAUCCAAUCCACUUGCCACCCAAAAUGGCGCUGCCCAUGUUGGAUAGGGGGACAAAUAGUGAGGAUAGGUCGAUUGAUAGCGUCCCAUAUUUCGACACCCGAUUGGUCAGAGAGCUCAAAAAGUGGCUGGAGCUUUUGGUAUAGGCAUGACCCAUUAAUGGCCAGACUCCCUUUUAAUAUACGGCUCUAGCGUACCCACAUGCGGUAGAGAUGUGCGCGGCCUCCUGCAGCUUGCUGCGCGUAUGCAUGCCGCCCCAGCUCUACUGCGUCCUCCCGCGACUCUCCACAGCGAGAGCUUCUGGUUCCGUGUUUGACAAGAUGGCGAACGACAUCGAAGUCGAGCUACUGACAAUAGUGAACGCUUCAGUUCUUACAUCUGAGCUUUUGCGAAAUCAACAUUGCAGACGCAAGAAACGUAGGCUUUGGGUUCACUCACUGUGGCGAUAGCGCAUUCUUUUCUUGCGAACAAUGUUUAGCUUUCAAAUUCCUGACACUAUCUAUGACGGUUAAUAUCUUACACUUUACCUACCUGCCCUCCCACAUUUUACUGCAGUGUCGGCCCAAAAAGCCAUUUUAGGGCAACGCUUUACAAUGUAGACAGCAAUGACAUUUUAUUUUCUUCAUAAAUUCGCCGAUUGAAAAACGUGAGCACCACUGCGACAUACCUUCCAGUCAACGAUGCCGUCAAUGCUCUGCGUGCGGGAGGCUGGAAGUUAAACUGCAUGCUGAUUGUGUCUGGAGUUUGUGUUGCAGUCCGUAACAUAGUGCAACAGAAAAAUACGGCCCUGUUUGUUCCAGCAUUGUUGUCCUAAGACGAGUCGUGGUGCUUCGUCGAAAGAAUAAAUAUAUAUGCAGAAACAACUGCCUAUAUGACACGUGGGGCGUGGUUGCGUGGGAUGCGUACCACGAGCUCUUCUUCGACAUAAAACACACGGCAAUUCCUCUUGCUCCUUAAAACUUGUUUGUUGGGUUUUCAAUACCGUUCAGAAUGUUUUUUUUUCUCUCUCUCUCUCUCUCUACAAUGGACUAUGAGUUCUUUCCUGCCAUUUCUGUAGACAAGGUCACGAGCGAAGUGACAUAGCUCGUGGACGAGGGUUCCAAUGAACCUGUUGGGCCAUAACUUGUCGGUUGUGGUUCUUGUCUUCUUUUAUAGAUGGGUAGAAAUCCAGCGAACCCAGAAGAAGAACAGUCUCUGUUCGAAAUAUCGGCGGCUUCUGUCCUGAGGCAACUCCCUUCCUACUUGUCUUCUUUUAGCUUUGCCAGCUUUGAGGUUCUGUUCUUCAUCACAAGCGGCGCACAUGGGUGCAAGGAAAGCACAUUAUAUCCACUUAUCACAUCGAAUCAAGCUUCAGUCACUUUUCUGUCAGAAAAUCAUCAGUACUCUAAUCAUCGUAAUCAGCUGUGAUCUUUCACCAGACCACAUCAACCAUACAGUACUGUACUGUACCAUUGAAUACUGUACCCUACUGAAAAAACUAUCAGCCAAGUUUCUGCUUGUUCAUCAGAAUUCUACUGAUGCCUGUAAAUUGGGGCAGACCAGGCGUGACGGCUUGAUGGGACCACCAAAUCGUAUGAGUGGUGUACUGAUUCCUAACAAAAGACUGGUCUCUAACACAAUUAUAAAACAUAUUUAUUUGAAGCACACAACGAUACGUACAGGUGAGGGUUGGACCAUCUCGAAGCUGGAACACGAAUCCUCUUUUCAGAUAGUUACUGUCCAACUACCAUAUUUUGUUCUUUUCUUGAGCUUCUCUCCUUUACGUUUACGGAUCGCACAUGAAGGUACCUGAAUAAUAGACAAAAGUGUCAGAAGAACAUCUGCUAACUAACAAUGAAAUAUACCAGAGCACAAGAUCACACGUACAGCAACCGCAAACAGAAUGCGGCAUGGUUUGAGCGAAAACGAAUGCACCAUCAUGACUGAACUUCGACGUAUAUUGGUGCUGCAACGGUAUUUUAUUUCAAGAAUCUUCGUGACUGGAAACUAACCGUGGAAAACUGCUGCGGCGUCCCAACAUAUAACCCCAUUGAAAAAAUGAACAAUAAAAGAAACAGUUGCCGCAGCAGCUUUUAGUUGCCGUGAUUUGGGACAUUUCUGGAGUUUUCCUCUCCAGUGUUAACAUCAGCAUUCCCUCUUGUUCCACGUGUAUUUUACCUUAUGUUCAGGCACCCUGGUGUUUUUGGUGUGUGUGGUCUGAUGCUGCACACCACAAUUCCUGGUGUCUUUUAUUGCGCCAUUGUUGCGCAUUAUGCGGUCUCACGCAUUCCAUUCCUUGAUGUGCUCCUCAGCACUCCCUCGAGUCACUAAAAGCUGCUCAUGUUUUCAUGUGACACAGGUGGAGGAUAUUUCUUGAAUAACUGAACAAUGGCCAACGGGUGGGUCUUCCUUUUGGACAUCGUACGUGGACAUCCAGAAUGACAUUUAAUGGACGCCUUACGGGACGUUACCAUCGAGCUCUCCCUCUUCCUCAUGCAUGCUUCACUGCACUUCCACUGUGCACGAAGCGUGACAAUAUUUUACAACAGUUCAAUUGUGAACAGCACUUUUAUUUGAUAGACAAAACAAACGUUACAACGGACUAAUUGAUAUAAUCAGUUGCACAGAACACGCAAGAGCAAUGACACUGACCCCCCAAAAUAGCAUAAACCAGAAUAUAUAGCUUAUUUAUUUAUUAUUCUGCAUCAUCCGAAAUAAUCCUUAUGAGUGGUGCAUUUUACACGAGAGAAAGAAAGAAAAUAAACGUAACAGCAAAAACAGAUGACACCCUGAUAAAAAAAACCAAUGCUAAGCAUCGGAUAAGUAGCUAAGUAGAUCGCGUUUCAGUGCAUGCAGACGUUGAAAACCACACUGUACACGACUCUAUGGUCAAUGUCUAAAUGUUAUGUUGAUAUCACAAGAAUACCAAGCUAAGAGCAACACUUGGCAAUGUGUAACUGACAGUGGCAAGUAACGUGACGCAUCAAAUAAAACUCCCACAAAGGACAGGUCAAGCUGUCUUUGCUGUAAAUGGCUGAAUAUAUAGUAUUCGCCACUACUGUGGUGUUCGGUACAUACCACACUUUCUAUCGUAAGUAUAGAAUUUUGAAAGGAAUAUUUAUACCCUUGUUACACGGUCAUUCUUAACCGCGGUUCUCAAUAACCGCCGUUACUCUACCUAAACGCGGUUAUCCUAAACCACCGUUCGCUGCUGUUACACGGCGUGUAUCAUCACAGUUUGGUGUGGUUACGUGGUUUCAAUCCCGCAGAUUAAUAUUUACUAAAUUGAGCACUUAGAAAUAUAUAAAAUGAUUGAAUAAUAUAUUCCUAACAUACUUUUCCUGUAUCGACCUUCUUUUUAAACUAUAUAGCCAAAUAUUCGCACGGUUCCGUCGACCAUAGAGUUAAUAUAGGAAGACUCUAGAGAACGUACUUGGCGCACCGUCAAUGGGAUUCUCCUAUCCCAGAGCGUGAUCGCCCGGGCGCAGCCAUCAGUUGGUCAUGGACAGUGUUAGUGGACGGAUUUCAGCCCCCUAACUACAGCGGAGCUGCUCCGUUUGUUGCCAACCCUGUGCAGUUACGUGGGAUGACAGACGGUGGAACGACCCGAUGGAGGCAACGGCGUCCACCGUACGGAGCGAGGCCAGCCGACGAGUACGUACGAAUCUUCGGGAUACCUGCAGAAUUGAGUAGUGCUAUCGGAAUCACAAGGUAAACGUUGCCAUAUCAAACGUGAAUCAUAUCUUAUCUAUGAGAUACCUGCGACACCGCCAACACUUUGUUUUCCACCUACACGGAUGAAGAUGUUUACCGCCUAUGACUUGUUGAAGUGGCGUUUGUAUGCUUUGCGAGCGAAAUCAAUAAAUCGUUACCCAUCGUAACAAAUUUAGGUAUGUAUUUCCGAAGGCAACAGAAUUCCAAAGAUGAAUACACACAGUAAACCGCCAUUUUCAUGCUGCUCUGCGAACUAACAGGAACCGGAAAUGGCAAAAACGAAACCACCCCCCAUUCCAUGCUCUGGUCUGUCGAGUUUCGUGAUAAUAAAGUGACGAACGAAUUGCAGCACACAAGCAAAUGAUGUAGUGGGAAAAUAUUUACUGCUUACUUGUUUAACGAAUACAUAUGAGGUACAGAUUGGGACAAAAGUUUACGGAACACGCGAGCGACGUACUUUUUCUUCGGUGCGACACCCUAGCGGCAGCCGGAAGUGGGUGAGUUCACUGUUUCGGAGGGAUGGAAGGGUGCGCUGUGAAUGACACACAGCGGUAACUCGUACUUCCCUGGCACACCCAAGUGACACUGGAGCGACCACUGCGUGUCGCUAACAGCGCAUCCGUCCACCCCUCCGAAACAGU